UUUAUAGUAUUUUUUGUAAUAUUAAUAUUUGAUAAAAAACAUUACAAUUUAUAAUUUGAAUAUCCAAAAACCGAUCUAAUUUUCACUUGAUUUUUCCUUUCAUCUUUUCUUCUCCUAAACUCUUCUAAUGUGAAAAAUGUUUCAAUGAGACGGUGAUGUUUUAUGGUGGAUUUUAGGGUAAGAGCUUAAUUAAGUCCAUCCUCGGUGUACUACUAAUCUUAACCAUCGGAUUAAAUUGCCCCACAUGAUUUCAAUACUCUUUGCCACACUAAAUUUUGGUCUCUCCUUCUCUCUCCAUACAUCCAUUUUCAUAAUUUCCUUUCAGAUUUUAACCUUAAUUUUGUCAUUCAUCACACUUGAAAUUAAGAAGAUGGAAUGUUUUAUUUAUCUUAAAAUAAUUUAUGAAUUGGAUUAAGUCAAAGGGGUGAUGGUUGAUGAAUGAAAUCUUUUAGAGAGGGAAAAUUGUUUUGUACGAAAGAGCAAAUGAGAUUGUUUCGUGUCAUCCACGUUUUCUGUUUUAUUAACGUAAAUAAAUUGUAAACAAUAAUUUAUUAUAAGUUUGAUUUUUUAUCUAAACUAAUUUGUGAAAGAGGAUUGUGUUAAUAAACUAAAUAAUUAUCAUUAUAUAAUAACAAAAAAUAAUUUUAUAAUAAAGUUUAUUAACCUUAAUAAAUUUAUUUUUUUUACUUAAAAGUUUAUUAACCCAAUCCUAAUUAUUUUCUAGCGGCCAGACAGGGCGCGUUCCGCGCCUGUAUGUGUGAUCCAUAUUUUCUAUUAUGUAUGUUGUAUAUUAUUCUAAAUUUUUUAUGAAUAAUUGACUUAUGGAAAAAAUAAUUAAGUUACAUAGAGAUGC
rnacentral:lncRNA from 1 species